GACGAGGGGCGCGAGCGUUAUUCGGAAUCACUGGGCUUAAAGGGCGUGUAGGCGGAUGGGUAAGCGUGGGGUGAAAUCCCUCAGCUCAACUGGGGAAUGGCGGGGGGAACUGCCGGUCUUGAGACUGAUAGAGGCGAGUGGAACGCUCGGUGUAGAGGUGAAAUGCAUAGAUAUCGGGAGGAACGCCAGAGGAGAAGGCGGGCGGCUGGGCCUGUGCUGACGCUGAGGCGCGAAAGCGUGGGGAGCGAACAGG
rnacentral:rRNA from 1 species